rnacentral:rRNA from 1 species
AUGAACGCUGGCGGCGUGCCUAAUACAUGCAAGUCGAGCGAAUAGACGAGGAGCUUGCUCCUCUGACGUUAGCGGCGGACGGGUGAGUAACACGUGGAUAACCUACCUAUAAGACUGGGAUAACUUCGGGAAACCGGAGCUAAUACCGGAUAAUAUAUUGAACCGCAUGGUUCAAUAGUGAAAGACGGUUUUGCUGUCACUUAUAGAUGGAUCCGCGCCGCAUUAGCUAGUUGGUAAGAUAACGGCUUACCAAGGCAACGAUGCGUAGCCGACCUGAGAGGGUGAUCGGCCACACUGGAACUGAGACACGGUCCAGACUCCUACGGGAGGCAGCAGUAGGGAAUCUUCCGCAAUGGGCGAAAGCCUGACGGAGCAACGCCGCGUGAGUGAUGAAGGUCUUCGGAUCGUAAAACUCUGUUAUUAGGGAAGAACAAAUGUGUAAGUAACUAUGCACGUCUUGACGGUACCUAAUCAGAAAGCCACGGCUAACUACGUG